AAACGACUCUCGGCAACGGAUAUCUCGGCUCUCGCAUCGAUGAAGAACGUAGCGAAAUGCGAUACUUGGUGUGAAUUGCAGAAUCCCGUGAACCAUCGAGUCUUUGAACGCAAGUUGCGCCCGAAGCCCUCGGGCUAAGGGCACGUCUGCCUGGGUGUCACGC
rnacentral:rRNA from 6 species